UGGCUUUUAAGUGCGGCUCCACAGACGUAAACAAAAGCAAAAAGACUACAAAAGCUCGGAAACCUUCGUCUUUAAGUGCCGUCUUCGUUGCGAAGGUUCGCAAUCAUCAGUGCUAUUCGUAUUCGUGACACAGCCGACCGAAAUAGUUGGUUUGUGGUGCACCCGAACCAGUCACGAGCUCCCGUGACUCGGUGCAACUUCUUCGACAAUGUGGUGUGGCUCGUGGUGUUUCUCGCAAGUCUGCCUGAUGUGACUCAAGACAGACGGGAACGCUAUCGCGGCGAGCAAGAUAAUCUUCUUUAUCACCAAAAGAACGAAGAAAACCAUGCCCAGUACCAUUUUGAUCUUCAACAACUUCGCCAUUAUUAAUAUGGAUAUUAUGAACACUUUUUUCCAUUUCUUUCCCCUCGCCUCGCCGAUAUCUGAAACAAGCGACAGUUCCAUAUUAUCUAUUGGUUUGUACGAUUGCGGCUAUAAAUAAAAAAUAACAAAAUUUUAACUUAACUCGGUUGGUUCACGGGCAGCGUUCGUUUCCACCAUCGCACGCAAAAAUCACAAAUUUUAGGUAAAUUAACUUUAGUGUACUGUUCCUAGCCUUAAUUUUGUUUUUAAUAGCGUAUUCCAUCAUCCAGAUUUAAGUUAAAAACAUGUUAUUGAAUGAUUUAUAGCAAUAAUCGGCAGUGAAAACUUGUUACACGAUAUAAUAAAACAAGUUUCAUAUACGCCACUUUAGUCACUACUUUUAUAUGGCACGAGGGAAAGCAGCGGAGCGAGUGUUUAAUAAACGGGUGACUAAUAGUUGUCAGUACAUUUUUUAAAACAGCACGAAUAUAUAACAAUGGCUAAAAUGUGUGUGUGUAAGUCAUACUUUCCGCACGCUUAAUCCGGGCAUAAUUGUGUAAUGUUUCACUGAAAUCACUGUAAUAAACUCUUUAGUCUAAACUCAAUUUAAAAUAGAAUAAGUAAAUAUAUUAUCUUAUAACAAUAGAAUUGUUGGCAAACAGUUACAAAUGGAAAUAUAUUAAUAAACAUUAUUUCAUUAAUAUCACUUAUUUAAUAAUUUCUUCUAUUUUUAUUCAGUUGAACUUCUAGUAAAACUAAUAUUAAAAUGUUUCUUUAAACACCAUCAUUCAUUUCAUUACUAUAAACGUCAGCAUUUUACAAACCCAUUAACUAAUAACAUAUCCAUUAACUGUGCUCUGAGGAACAAGUGCCGAAACCUCGACACAGAGGUAGUAUUCGUCACUUCAAUUUUAAUCUCUCGUAUAAUACAAUAAAUAACCCAUAUGAGACAAUUCAAUUCAAUUUAAGUCAAUAUUAUAAUUAUAUUAUCAAUUCACAAAUUAACUACACUAAAGUCGAUAUAUACAGUGUCUCUCAUGAUCAUGGUAUUAUAAACAUAUGGUUUAUAGAUAUUUUUCGUCCAACCUGUCCCCUUACCCCAACACUGGUUAAUGUAAAAACGUAGAAUAAAAAAAAUUCUCAAAUAAGAAUUCCAACUAUAUAAAAAAAAAGUAUAUUCCGAGAAAUAACAUGUAAUUUUUGAGCCAGUUUCCCACCUAACUAUAUAACGAAAAAACUGUUUCAGAAAUCGGUCUAGGAUACAUAGAACAAUAACAAAUAACUUUAGUUUUGGUUAACUAACUUUAAAUAACUUUAGUUUUAUUAAUAAAAGAGGACCCAAACAAUCAUUUUUUAUUAUUGUUUCGAAAAAGGUUUAAGACACCAAAAUUAAAUUUAGCUCACUGCUAACGCAAUUUUAAUAUUUUGUAGGGGAGCGAAGCUAAAAGGGACACCCAUUUACUUUUCCCCAACUUUGUUUAAUGUAAAAGAAGCAAAAAACUCCUGUUUAGAAGUGAGAACGAACUAUCUCAGGGAACAGCGAAUGUGUCAAGAACAACGAUGAAACAAUAAUACUGUAAACUAUUUUGUACUUAAAUGUUGUCAGCAAUAACUUUUAUAGGCCCAAUCGAAGGUAUGUCUAUAUUUUUCUAUUUUCUAAAAACUAUUUCAAAAAUACCUCUCUAAAACUUAUAUGAUUUGUUUUAUGAAUUCAGGGCGCCGGAAUCGAUCCGCAGAAGCGCCGAUAGUCCCCUAAAAUUUAUUUUCUAAACGAAUUCGCGUCCCAUGUUUCCCAUUUUGUUGGUUUUUUUCAUAAUACAAACGCAUAUACUGCGCGUCACGCGACGAACCCACGUUCGAAUUGUUUCAGCUCUUUCAAUAUUCACGUAAUAAAUUUUCAGAUAAAAAGUUUUUCUGCGAACGGCACAUAAAUGGAAUGAUAACCAAAUCACUGGCUCCCGGCAAAAACUCAAUUUAUCCCCAGUUUCCGAGCAAACUGAUUUCAUUAUGGAGUUGUACUUGAACUGCAUGUGCGUAAUAUUAAAAAUAGAAUGAAAUAUAUUACUCAGAAAAUAUCCACUCCAUUAUAUUAGUACAAAAUUUACCCAAUGCUCAUUGUAUGACGUUAAUGAUUAAUAUAAAGCACAAAACAGUUAUUUCUGUAUCUAGUGGGCCAAAUGCUACUUGUAAUACAAAAAAGAGUGGAACUUACUUAAAAUUCUUCAAAAUAAUUGUUGCAACUGUGGAAAUAAAAUGAAAAUUUUUAAUUAAUUAUUGUUGAACAUUCACCAAUAACAAAGGGUAAAACACAAAAAUCCCACAAGUAAAGUAGGAAACUGUUUGUAGAACAAGAAUGUUGCUGUAGCAAUUCCAGGUUCAGUAAUCAUUUCCAUUUUUAACUUUGAAAUUUUUCGUUGUUGAGGAAGUUUUGAAAAUAUUGCUGUUAAAAAAAAAAUUUGGAAUUAAAGGGUUAAGAGUGUUUCCUUCACGAUGUAAUUACCAUAAUGUAUAAUACCGCAAAAUGCGAAAAUUAUCACUUAUUUUUUAUUUUAUUUUAUUUUCUUAGCCCCAGUUGCACCACCUGAUGACAGAAUAACCCAAAAAUUAGUUAUUAAAUUUAUUUAUCACAAAAUUUCGUAGACUUCAGAAAAUAGGUAGCCCUACGCUAGUGUUUAAUCGAUAUAGUGCAAAUAAUUAAAUAUAAACAUAAUAAUAAUAAAUAAUAAUAAAAAAAUAGAGCAAUAGGAAAUUAUUAUUAGGACCAUAAAAAUAUAUUAAAAUGUAAUAAACAAACGAAAAUUCAAAGUGUGGUAUGUGUAGCUAAUUUUUGGUCUGCAAAACAAAAAAUAGCGAAAGAGCACGGUGUUUCAAAUUAUGUUUGAGAAAAGAUUAACUAAGCAUUUCAUGUUAAGGGAAUAUUAUUCAAAUCGUGUCCAUAUUACACAAAAUUACAAAUGAUUUUAUCUUCUAAAUUAUUGUCUACGCUAUGGAAAGGAGAACAUGUUUGACUAUGUGGAAGUGAUAAGAAUGGUUGAAUAGUGCAAGAUCAUAUUCGCUUCCUAUAAAAAUAUCUAGUGUAUAAUAAAUAUAUAACAAUCGCACGAAAGACAAAAUCGUCAAUGAAAAAAUGCAUUAAUGAAUUAAUCUUCUUAUGUGUCCGCUAAGUUACUGAAUCAAUACGCCGAGGUUACUCAUCCAGAGCGUUUUUAGACUAAAUUAAAAAAAAAACUGUUUUUGGAAAUUACAUAUAAUAAGUUAUUUUUUUGUACUUUUGUUAAAUAUAGAUUAGCUUUGUCAAUUGUACUGCUUUAAUUGUUGUUAUAUUAAUUUAAUUUUUGUUUCUGCCUAUUUCAA